rnacentral:rRNA from 1 species
AGUGAACGCUGGCGGUAGGCCUAACACAUGCAAGUCGAACGGCAGCACAGUAAGAGCUUGCUCUUACGGGUGGCGAGUGGCGGACGGGUGAGGAAUACAUCGGAAUCUACUUUUUCGUGGGGGAUAACGUAGGGAAACUUACGCUAAUACCGCAUACGACCUACGGGUGAAAGCAGGGGAUCUUCGGACCUUGCGCGAUUGAAUGAGCCGAUGUCGGAUUAGCUAGUUGGCGGGGUAAAGGCCCACCAAGGCGACGAUCCGUAGCUGGUCUGAGAGGAUGAUCAGCCACACUGGAACUGAGACACGGUCCAGACUCCUACGGGAGGCAGCAGUGGGGAAUAUUGGACAAUGGGCGCAAGCCUGAUCCAGCCAUACCGCGUGGAUGAAGAAGGCCUUCGGGUUGUAAAGCCCUUUUGUUGGGAAAGAAAAGCAGCAGGUUAAUACCCCGCUGUUCUGACGUUACCCAAAGAAUAAGCACCGGCUAACUUCGUG